rnacentral:rRNA from 1 species
AUUGAACGCUGGCGUCAGGCCUCACACAUGCAAGUCGAACGAGUGGCGGACGGGUGAGUAAUGUCUGGGCAACUGCCCGAUGGAGGGUGAUCACUACUGUAAACGGUAGCUAAUACCGCAUACCAUCGGAUUUGCCCAGAUGGGAUUAGCUAGUAGGUGGGGUAACGGCUCACCUAGGCGAAGAUCCCUAGCUGGUCUGAGAGGAUGAACAGCCACACUGGAACUGAGACACGGUCCAGACUCCUACGGGAGGCAGCAGUGGGGAAGAUUGCACAAGGGGCGCAAGCCUGAUGCAGCCAUGCCGCGUGUAUGAAGAAGGCCUUCGGGUUGUAAAGUACUUUCAGCGAGGAGGCGUUACUCGCAGAAGAAGCACCGGCUAACUCCGUGCCAGCAGCCGCGGUAAUAC